rnacentral:rRNA from 1 species
GAUGAACGCUGACAGAAUGCUUAACACAUGCAAGUCUUUGGCGAAUCUGUGCUUGCCCUGGUUAGACAAGUCGGACGGGUGAGUAACGCGUAAAGAACUUGCGCUGCAGACAGUGAUAACAGACGAAAACGACGGAUAACACCUGAUACAAUCAUCGGCGCGCAUGUGCCUGGCAAGGGAAAUAGAUGCUGCAGGAGAGCUUGGCGUCCUAUUCGCUUGUUGGUGAGGUGACGGCUCACCAAGGCGAUGAUAGGUAGCCGGCCUGAGAGGGGGAACGGCCACAAGGGCACUGGGAUACAGCCCUUACGACUACGGGAGGCAGCGGUGGAGAAUAUUGGACACAUGCCGCAUCCCUGAAGCAGCCAUUCUGUGUGCACAAAGAAUGUUUUCGGAAUGAAAAGUACUAGCAGCAGAGAAGAAGAAAGUGACGGUACCUACAGAAGAAGCGACGGCUAAAUACGUG